rnacentral:rRNA from 1 species
AUACGGAGGAUGCAAGCGUUAUCCGGAUUUAUUGGGUUUAAAGGGUGCGUAGGCUGUUCGACAAGUCAGGGGUGAAAGCCCAGUGCCUAACACUGGAACUGCCUUUGAUACUGCUUUUCUGGAGUUCGGAUGCCGUGGGAGGAAUGGGCAGUGUAGCGGUGAAAUGCAUAGAUAUUGCCCAGAACACCGAUUGCGAAGGCAUCUCACGAAUCCGAGACUGACGCUGGGGCACGAAAGCGUGGGGAUCAAACAGGAUUAGAUACCCUGGUAGUCCACGCAGUAAACGAUGAUAACUAACCGUCGGCGAUAGAAUGUCGGUGGCCAAGCGAAAGCGAUAAGUCAUCCACCUGGGGAGUACGUUCGCAAGAAUGAAACUCAAAUGAAUUGGCGGGG